UACGAAGGGUGCAAGCGUUACUCGGAAUUACUGGGCGUAAAGGGUGCGUAGGUGGUCGUUUAAGUCCGUUGUGAAAUCCCUGGGCUCAACCUGGGAAUGGCAUUGGAAACUGGCUCGCUGGAGUGUGGCAGAGGGGGGUGGAAUUCCGCGUGUAGCAGUGAAAUGCGUAGAGAUGCGGAGGAACACCGAUGGCGAAGGCAGCCCCCUGGGCUAACACUGACGCUCAGGCACGAAAGCGUGGGGAGCAAACAGG
rnacentral:rRNA from 1 species